CAUUCUGAAAAAUCUGAGAGAAAGAAAGAAGAAAAGAAAGGAGCUUUGAGGAGAAGUGCUUAGAUCAUCUCAAAAUUACAUCAAAUUGCUUCAGAUCAUCACAAUAAGAAAAUGUGUUGGGCAUCAGGCUUGAGUUCUUGGCAUCGGACUUGCAUUCAUACUGAUGAAUGUGAAACCCAGAUGAGGUUAAGUCGGGCGUGGGAUGUAUCACGUCGGGCGUGAAAAAUUUGGUAAUGGUAAAAGUGAUGAGGGCGACACUCUAGGUGCUGAGAGCUGAAGUGACUUGUUUGCUAUGAUAAUGUGACAUCGGGACAAUAGGAUUAGAAUAGGAUUUUAUCUUUUCAUAUUGAUUACCAUUUCUUUUUGUAUUUAAUCACGGUUGAAAACCUUAUGUUUUAUAAUUUUUUUUAUUUGCUUGGAUGUUCA